rnacentral:tRNA from 1 species
GGGGAUGUGGCUCAGCUGUGAAGCACCUGCCUAAUAUGUGAGAGGCCUUGGGUUCAAUCCCCAGCACCACCA